GCGUGAACGAUGGUGACAUGCGGCUGGCCGAUGGGGGCGCCACCAACCAGGGCCGCGUGGAGAUCUUCUACAGAGGCCAGUGGGGCACUGUGUGUGACAACCUGUGGGACCUGACUGAUGCCAGCGUCGUCUGCCGGGCCCUGGGCUUUGAGAACGCCACCCAGGCUCUGGGCAGAGCUGCCUUCGGGCAAGGAUCAGGCCCCAUCAUGCUGGACGAGGUCCAAUGCAUGGGAACCGAGGCCUCGCUGGCCGACUGCAAGUCCCUGGGUUGGCUGAAGAGCAACUGCAGGCACGAGAGAGACGCCGGUGUUGUCUGCACCAACGGAGCCUUCCAGAGUGGAUGAGGCAGCCACAAAUCCCUCACUUUCAGAUGAAGACGCUGACCCCAGAGAGUGGCAGCACCCCGGCUCCUAACACAGCCCACUUUCCUCCCUCCCCUUCUUAGAAACCAGGAGCACCCACACCCUGGACCUCUCCAGGGAGCUCUCGGAGGCCCUUGGCCAGAUCUUUGACAGCCAGCGGGGCUGCGACUUGUCCAUCAGCGUGAGUGUGCAGGGCGAGGACGCCCUGGGCUUCUGUGGCCACACGGUCAUCCUGACUGCCAACCCAGAGGCCCAGGCCCUGUGGAAGGAGCCGGGCAGCAAUGUCACCAUGAGUGUGCAUGCUGAGUGUGUGCCCAUGGUCAGGGACUUUCUCAGGUGAGCCGUCUCGUCCUCAGGCUCUGGGGCCGCCAGGGGCUUUGUCCUCCUCCCCUCUUCAAAAGCACACCCACACACACACACCUGCACACACUCAUGCACAUGUACACACGCAGUCACACGUGCACUCGCGCAGUUGCACACACGGGCAUGCUCACUCCCACGCUGUGUGCACUCGGGUGGCUGUGUUGGACAGGUGGACCCAGGGCUCCCCUGCUGUCCUGUGGGGCCGGCAUCCGCUCUCCCUCUUUCUCCCCAGGUACUUCUACUCCCGAAGGAUCGACAUCGCCCUGUCGUCGGUCAAGUGCUUCCACAA
rnacentral:sRNA from 1 species